rnacentral:tRNA from 1 species
GGGUAUAGCUCAGUGGUAGAGUGUAUGCUUAGCAUGCAUAAGGUCCUGGGUUCAAUCCCCAGUAGUUCCA